rnacentral:rRNA from 1 species
AUUGAACGCUGGCGGCAGGCCUAACACAUGCAAGUCGAGCGGAUGAAGGGAGCUUUCUCCUGGAUUCAGCGGCGGACGGGUGAGUAAUGCCUAGGAAUCUGCCUGGUAGUGGGGGAUAACGUCCGUAAACGGGCGCUAAUACCGCAUACGUCCUGAUGUAGAAAGUGGGGGAUCUUCGGACCUCACGCUAUCAGAUGAGCCUAGGUCGGAUUAGCUAGUUGGUGGGGUAAAGGCCUACCAAGGCGACGAUCCGUAACUGGUCUGAGAGGAUGAUCAGUCACACUGGAACUGAGACACGGUCCAGACUCCUACGGGAGGCAGCAGUGGGGAAUAUUGGACAAUGGGCGAAAGCCUGAUCCAGCCAUGCCGCGUGUGUGAAGAAGGUCUUCGGAUUGUAAAGCACUUUAAGUUGGGAGGAAGGGCAGUAAGUUAAUACCUUGCUGUUUUGACGUUACCAACAGAAUAAGCACCGGCUAACUUCGUG